CCUACGGGGGGCUGCAGUGGGGAAUAUUGGACAAUGGGGGGAACCCUGAUCCAGCCAUGCCGCGUGUGUGAAGAAGGCCCUCGGGUUGUAAAGCACUUUCAGUGAGGAAGAACGCCUGGUGGUUAAUACCCAUCAGGAAAGACAUCACUCACAGAAGAAGCACCGGCUAACUCCGUGCCAGCAGCCGCGGUAAUACGGAGGGUGCGAGCGUUAAUCGGAAUUACUGGGCGUAAAGCGCGCGUAGGUGGCUUGAUAAGCCGGUUGUGAAAGCCCCGGGCUCAACCUGGGAACGGCAUCCGGAACUGUCAAGCUAGAGUGCAGGAGAGGAAGGUAGAAUUCCCGGUGUAGCGGUGAAAUGCGUAGAGAUCGGGAGGAAUACCAGUGGCGAAGGCGGCCUUCUGGACUGACACUGACACUGAGGUGCGAAAGCGUGGGUAGCAAACAGGAUUAGAUACCCGGGUAUC
rnacentral:rRNA from 1 species